UUAACUAUUAGAUAGUACUCAGACGACACUAACAUUCAGAGUUUUAGGUUCUCUGACACGCGCGAGCCAGCCAAAGCCGGUACCCGAAGGCGGCGUGCCAAAGCAACAAAGAUAUAAUACACAAGGGUGAGGUUUGCUACCCGUGAGGGCAGCGAACACUGUAAUGAUCCUUCCGCAGGUUCACCUACGGAAA
rnacentral:misc_RNA from 1 species